rnacentral:rRNA from 1 species
CAAUAGCGUAUAUUUAAGUUGUUGCAGUUAAAAAGCUCGUAGUUGGAUUUCGGUUAAGAGCGACCGGUCCGCCGUUUGGUGUGCACUGGUUGGUUUUAACUUCCUGUAGAGGACGUGCUCUGGGUUUAACGACCUGGACUCGGAGUCUACGUGGUUACUUUGAAAAAAUUAGAGUGUUCAAAGCGGGCUUGCGCUUGAAUAUUUCAGCAUGGAAUAACACUAUAGGACUCCUGUCCUAUUUCGUUGGUCUCGGGACGGGAGUAAUGAUUAAGAGGAACAGUUGGGGGCAUUCGUAUUUCAUUGUCAGAGGUGAAAUUCUUGGAUUUAUGAAAGACGAACUUCUGCGAAAGCAUUUGCCAAGGAUGUUUUCAUUA